AUAAUUAUGGUUACCUAGUGAGUCCAGUAGUCCCCAGUAAGAGAAACAGUGGGUGCAUGUUUUGCAGUCCUCUCCUUUGUAUACAACUCGUGUAUUCUUCUUGUGAUGGUGCGUCUUGAGGGAAUCUCAUACCUGCCGUCAUUUGUUGCUCCGAAU